rnacentral:snRNA from 1 species
GGAUGUGAGGGCAAUCUGGCUGCGACAUCUGUCACCCCACUGAUUGCCAGGGUUAAUUUGGCUGAUCUGGCUGGCGAGGCAGGUGUUGCCUUCCUCUCUCACUCUCCAUAUGCGCUCGGUCAAGAGGACGGCCUUCCCCAAAUAGACAGACUGGUCUUUGACUGAGGGUAUACGAAUAGCGGUGCUCCCCUGCUAGAACCUCCAAAUAUGCUCUCAAGAAGCUGUGGGCUGUAAACUCAAUGAAAUACUACUAUGACAUUAAAAAGAUGAUAAUUGUUCCUUU